GCGUGAAUUAACUUCCCUUUUCCUAGCUUUAGCUGCAGAGUGUGGCAGAGCUACCUCAGGAGACAGUGGAGAGGAAGCAGAGCCUCAAAAAGUGAGAACUGGAUGUCCAAACACAGAAGAGAAGAACAAGCCCUGAAAAUACUGCCCUCAGAGAAUUUAGAACUACAAAGGAAUGUGACCCAUGAUUAUGAGGACUCACUGUCCACACCAUGCCUCUCACAAGUACACCACACACCCCUGUGUCUCAACUCCGCAGGUGGUCUGCCAGUGAGGAGACCUCAGACCUUGAGCAGACUUCCGGGCAGAAGACCCCAGAAGAACACAGUGAGCCCUUGAUCUGAGAGAGCUGGUGGAGGAAGUCAGACUGACAGGAAGAGCUUCUUCUGCCCGGGAGGGCUGGUCUGAGUGUAGUGAUUCCGCGCCCC
rnacentral:lncRNA from 1 species